UAACUUGUUGGACACCUCGGUAUGUUCCCUUGUGAGAAGAAAAAACGCGUUUACACCCUAAAGGUAUCAGCGAUAUUCUUGUAAUGGUGUCGAAUUGAUACGGUGCGAUGUUACCGCAGUAAACAAAACUUGGAGCUAACACAAAAUUGUGUCAGUCUAUUCGUAGAGAGAGCUCAAUACUGUUUGGCGGCCAUUUUUCUUCUCCACAAAAAAGUCAACAAUUAAUAUCAGUGUGUUGAAUUGAUUUCGAGAGAAAAAAUAGUUUUUUAAAGACUACUUCCAAUUUCUUGACUCAGUAAAGCUAAAACUCAACAUUGGACCCAACGAGGGAGCCAAAAUUGACGAAUAAGGAUUGACCACCUGGCAACCUACCUAUUUAAUUAUUAUUAAAUCUCUUGUUGCAAAGUGAAUUGAACUAGAUUUACUCAUAGAUUUACUCAUAUUUUAGACCAUCUCCGUGUUAAAUACAUAUAAACUUUUACUGUAAAACUGCAUAAGGUAUGAAGAAAAAAA